CACGUAGGGGGCUAGCGUUGCUCGGAAUCACUGGGCGUAAAGCGCACGUAGGCGGCUUCUAAGUCAGGGGUGAAAUCCUGGAGCUCAACUCCAGAACUGCCUUUGAUACUGGAGAGCUUGAGUCCGGAAGAGGUGAGUGGAACUCCGAGUGUAGAGGUGAAAUUCGUAGAUAUUCGGAAGAACACCAGUGGCGAAGGCGGCUCACUGGCCCGGUACUGACGCUGAGGUGCGAAAGCGUGGGGAGCAAACAGG
rnacentral:rRNA from 1 species